ACCGCUCGUCCCUCCCCCCAAAAAAAGUCUUCGUUCAGUCCGCCUGUGGUCGCAUCGCUCCCGUCGAGGAUACUCCUCCAUCCCCUCACAGAUCUCGCUCGCUUCUCAACAUCUUGUCCCUUUAUUUAACGAAUCUCCAAGAUGCCGCUCCGCUGGAUCCCGGACGGAAUUCGCCGUCCCCGUCGAAUUAUUUAAGGUUUUCCUAAACAGCGGGCGAUACGAAUUUCUCAGGGAAAAAAGAUCAACGGGAAAAAAGUUGGCAAGUGGAGAAGAGGAGAUAGAAGAGAAGAAAGAUGAGAACAAGAUCAUUUGUUUCCUGAAGAUUUGGAUCUGUCUGUCGUGGUUUGUCUGCAUAAAUCUAUAGUGUUUGUAGGGUUUUUGGAAUAAUGGGAGGCAAAGGAUCCACAGAGGCAGGCGACAGCAGAAAUAUCGGUCAUCGGCCUUCAUAUCAUGAUCACAGCAGCUAUUCACAGGAGCAGCCUUAUCAUAGCCAAUCUCGGGAAUGGCCUCCAUAUCAGAAUCGUCCUUCUCCAUUUGAAAGCUAUGAUUCCCCACCUCGAGCUUACCCUGUGGCUCGCACAUACUCCCCUCCUAGAGGUUACCCUCCUCGGGGCUACCCACCACAAGCUUCAACUUAUCCACGGCCUCCUCAGGUGCAAAAUCCUUCCUCACAUGCCACCAGUUCACGUCCCAAGUUGGACCGCAGAUACUCAAAGAUAGCUGAUAACUACAGCUCAUUGGAGCAGGUUACUGAGGCUCUUGCACAAGCUGGUCUUGAAUCAUCAAAUCUAAUUGUUGGUAUUGAUUUCACAAAGAGCAACGAGUGGACAGGUAAGCACUCAUUCAACCGCCGCAGCUUGCAUUCCAUCGGUGAUACUAAAAAUCCUUACGAACAAGCAAUAUCUAUCAUUGGACAAACCAUGUCAGCAUUUGACGAGGAUAACUUAAUCCCUUGUUUUGGGUUUGGAGAUGCAUCGACACAUGACCAAGAUGUCUUCAGUUUCUACGAAAGACCUUGUAAUGGAUUUGCAGAGGCUUUAACACGAUACAGAGAAAUUGUACCACAUCUACGAUUAGCUGGGCCAACAUCCUUUGCUCCAAUAAUUGAAAUGGCUAUGACCAUUGUGGAGCAGAGUGGUGGGCAGUACCACGUUUUAUUGAUAAUUGCUGAUGGGCAGGUUACAAGAAGUGUAGAUACUGAAUCUGGCCAGUUAAGCUCCCAAGAAAAGAAGACAGUUGAUGCAAUUGUCAGUGCUAGUCAAUUUCCAUUAUCUCUUAUAUUGGUUGGAGUUGGGGAUGGACCCUGGGACAUGAUGAGGGAAUUUGAUGACAAUAUUCCUGCUAGAUCUUUUGACAAUUUCCAAUUUGUGAAUUUUACUGCAAUUAUGUCAAAGAACGUGCCUCAAAGCAGAAAAGAGACAGAGUUUGCGCUUGCAGCACUGAUGGAAAUACCUGCACAAUACAAAGCAACUUUAGAGCUUGGGAUCUUAGGACAACGGGCUGCAAAGUCUCCUGAAAGAGUCCCUCUUCCACCACCUAUUGGGAGUUACGGUGCAGCUUCCUCUGUACCAAAUACUUGUGGAUCAAUGGGUUACCGGCAAAGUGCACCAUCUUAUCCUGAAUAUCAAGCGUCACAAACCACAGCUCCUGCUGCAAGUGCUUCAGGGGAAGCUCAGGUUUGUCCAGUCUGCCUUUCAAACCCCAGAGACAUGGCCUUUGGCUGUGGGCACCAGACAUGCUGUGACUGUGGACCAAAUCUUGUAACUUGCCCCAUCUGUCGCAGCCCAAUUCAGGCCAGAAUAAAGCUCUAUUGAGGUCACUGCAAUGAUGUAUAGAGAGGAUAUGCGGUUCCAAUUUAAACAGCAUGGACUUUGUUCAGGGUAAUCAUAAUUUUCAGCCCAGUGGAUUAUCUAGAUUUACAUCAGUCUAGUGGAUUGCAGCUGAAUAUGCUGAGCAAUGGCCUUGCUGUUUAGAAGACAACUGCAAACCCUUCCUUGCCCGUGUUUGUGUAACUUGUGUCUGUUUCUUUUCACACAUUCUGUCUUGCUUUCUUAGAUGUCUAUAUGAAGGCCUGCAUAUGUGUUGGCACGGGUGUGUUUGUGCGUGCAUGUGUUUGAGUAUGUAUAUCUGUGCUUGUGUGCGAGUGCAUGCAUGCAUUUGUUCGUGGUGUCCAGAACUGCUACAUCUCUGAUAGGCCAAUUUGCUUGUCGGCAAGUGGCCAAAGAAGAGGCCUGUCGGGGAACCGAACCAUUCUGAACCCCUACCUGGUUCAGAAAGGGCCAUCCUUCAAUACAUCACCAUGCAGCUAAAGUGGGUGGUUGCCAUCCCAGAAACUGAACCACCUCCUUCCCAAGAUUGUCUUCAGGGAUUUUUGCCAUCAUUUGUACCAUUCAGACCAAUCUGUGUUCAAUCCAUUUCAUCUGGGCACAACUUGUAUGAUGGAUGCAUUUGGACUUGUCAAUUGUAACGUUUUAGGGAAUCCGGAAUGCUGAGCAUGCAUUUGUGUGGGCAAGGGAAUAUUGUUGCAAGACUGGAUAGAUCUUUGAACAGUGGCAUCUAUUCAACAUGUUCAGGCGCAACCAUGCUCUACUACUACUGAAGAAAUAUAUCCAAUGGAUCAACUUUAAUCAUACAUUAAAUGAGAGAAGGGAUCUGGAACUGUCAUUCAGGAAAAUUGGGUCCAAGGAAUGACCGUAAAUUCUAGUUCGUGCAUCUGGAAACAGACUGGGCUUCUCUUAAGCCAAAUGAGUAGGCUAUAGUGGAACCUGAGGAGCUGUGGUAGCUUUAAAUGUCCCAAAUCAAAUGGUUGCAGGAGUACAAAGGCUAUUUUUGACUUAAAUGCCAACAGAAGAGCUAUCAGCAUUGUGGUGUCAAUGAGUCCUAGCCUGCUGGUAUUUGUAAAGGAAGUAGGAACAUCAGCUUGUUAUCAUGCAGCUGUACAGACGGGCGAAAAAGGAAUUGUCUUUGCCUAGGUGAAAAUGGAAACCAGAUCAGGGAACCUUCUGCAGGAGGAAUCAAGCUGUGGGGCACAUUGGUUUGCUUGACUCUGGUGCCAAGAGAAAACUAACUUUGGUUUAAUGUGAUAUGCUUGCAUAAUCAUGGAGUUUUAACAGCCUUCAUGCCUAUUGUGUCUAAGUCAGAAAGAGUGUUGGAGAGUAGGGGACAAAGAUUUUUAGAUAUUGGAUAUUACUUCUGAACAUGGUAUGUGCCUUAUCAUUAGAUUCUUCGUUUGUUUCUCUAAUUUCUAACGAGGAUGAUAAAUACUUUGCUUAUCAGUUCAAACAUAUCCUGCAAAAUUGGAAUUUGCUGAAUAUGCGACAUUUGUAUCGGAUAGACUGAUAGACAAUGAUACCUACAUGCCCUCUAGUUCUUUCUUCACUCAAAAGCUGCUCAUAAUCCAGGGGUCUAAUGAUCUUGAAAAAAGGCUGGAGAAAGCUCAUGAUGGCUUAUUAUUCUUACUUUUUGUGGAUGAUCUGGAAUCUCUCUAUUUUUUUGAAGGCUUAUGUCUUGAGAGCUAA